AAAAAAUUUUAUUUUUGUUUAAUGAUUUAUUUUUAAAUUAUUUUACAUAUAAAUUAUUAUAUUAAUUUAAUUUAAAUUUUAAGAAUUUAAAUUUUGUUUAUUAUAUCAAUAGUAGUAAUUUAUUUUUAUAAUUUAAAGAAAUUUAGAUUUAGUAAUUUAUAUAAUAUUAGUAAAAAUUGUGCCAGCAACUGCGGUUAUACAAUUAAUGUAAAUAAAUUUUAUUGUUUAUAAGUUAAAAAUACAAAAGUUUUAAAUUACAGGUAAUUUUAUUAAGUUAAAUUUUAAAAUUAUAAAUAUUUAAUAAUUAAAAUUAUUUUAGGCUUGAAAAUUUUGUAUAAAAACUAGGAUUAGAUACCCUAUUAUUAAAAAUGUAAUUAAUUUAAAUAGAUUAGUAAUAGUUAUAUUCUUGAAAAUUAAUAAAUUUGGCGGUAUUUUAUUCUAUUCAGAGGAAUUUGUUUUAUAAUAGAUGAUGCACACUUUAUCUUACUUAAUUUAUUAUAAUUUGUAUAUCGUUGUCAUAAGAAUAUCUUUAAAAAGUUAGUAAUAUUCUAAAAUUUAAAGUAAAAAUAAUGUCAAAUCAAGGUGCAGUUUAUAAUUAAGGAAAAAUAGAUUACAAUAAAAUGAUUUAUUACUAAUAUUAAAUUUAAAUAUUUAUUUGAAGGUGGAUUUGAAAGUAAAUUUAUAAAUAUAAAUAAGUUGAAUUUAGUUUUAAAAUAUGCACAUAUCGCCCGUCGCUCUCAAUUAAUAAAUGAGAUAAGUCGUAACAUAGUAAAAAUACUGGAAAGUGUUUUUAGAAU
rnacentral:ncRNA from 1 species